AGAGUUUGAUCAUGGCUCAGGAUAAACGCUGGCGGCGCACAUAAGACAUGCAAGUCGAACGAACUUAACUCAUUCUUUUAGUUUGAGAGCGGUUAGUGGCGGACUGGUGAGUAACGCGUGAGCAACCUGCCUAUUAGAGGGGAAUAACAGUGAGAAAUCACUGCUAAUACCGCAUAUGCUUACAGUAUCGCAUGAUACAGUAAGGAAAGGAGCAAUCCGCUAAUAGAUGGGCUCGCAUCUGAUUAGCUAGUUGGUGGGGUAAAAGCUUACCAAGGCGAUGAUCAGUAGCCGGACUGAGAGGUUGAACGGCCACAUUGGGACUGAGAUACGGCCCAGACUCCUACGGGAGGCAGCAGUCGGGAAUAUUGCGCAAUGGAGGAAACUCUGACGCAGUGACGCCGCGUAUAGGAAGAAGGUUUUCGGAUUGUAAACUAUAGUCGUUAGGGAAGAUAAAAGACUGUACCUAAGGAGGAAGCCCCGGCUAACUAUGUGCCAGCAGCCGCGGUAAUACAUAGGGGGCAAGCGUUAUCCGGAUUUAUUGGGUGUAAAGGGUGCGUAGAUGGAGGAACAAGUUAGUUGUGAAAUCCCUCGGCUUAACUGAGGAACUGCAACUAAAACUAUUUCCCUUGAGUGUCGGAGAGGAAAGUGGAAUUCCUAGUGUAGCGGUGAAAUGCGUAGAUAUUAGGAGGAACACCGGUGGCGAAGGCGACUUUCUGGACGAUAACUGACAUUGAGGCACGAAAGUGUGGGGAGCAAACAGGAUUAGAUACCCUGGUAGUCCACACUGUAAACGAUGGAUA
rnacentral:rRNA from 1 species